CGUGAGCUGUCAAAACAUAUUUCAAUAAUAAUUUUAAAAGAAAAUUAAUUAAGUUCGUUUCUUCUUUCUUUUCAUGUCUUCUCUCCUCUCUCCUCUCUUCCUUUGUCUUCUCUCCUCAUUUCUCCGGCUUUUUUCCUCUGUUUAUAUAUAUAUAUAUAAAUAUAUAUCGAAGCAGAUCAAACGCAGAACUCUUAAAUGAUAUAACUCCUUAAAUAGCAGAACUAUUUAAUGGCUUUCUUGUUUUUUUAAUUUCUCUCUCCUCACUCGUUCACACUCGCCAGACUUCUCCAAAUCUCGUAACACGCUAGACUUCUUCCUUCUCCAAAUCUUCACAAAACGAAGCCCUAGGAUGGGAACGAAGAAUCUCCACUUCCAAUCUCCACUUCGAACGAAGAAUCUCCACUUCGAAUCGGUAAGCCCUAGAACGAAGAACCCUCUUUGAAUCUCCAAUUAUGUGUGUGAUUUUGACCCUUUUAAUUCUGUAAUUUGAAAAUGCUUGAAUAAAGAUCUGUUGACCCUUAUCUGUUUGAAUAAUGGCCUUUUAAUUUUUCGAUUAUGUCAAAAAUAAUUGUAAUGUUCUUGAUAAUUACAGUUAUUCUCUUUCGUAUUCUUAAAUUUAAAUUUAUGAUAAAAUUGUUAUUAUUAUUAUUAUAAUAAUUAUUAUUAUUAGGCAAAAUAUUAUUAUUCUGAAUCUUUCGACUCCAAAAAAAAAAAUGAAAGAAUGGUAAAUCUGAAUUCCCAAAUAUUUGGAAUUUCUAGACGAACUUUUUGGGUAUACUAGUUAUCUCAAUACUGUUGCUUAAUUGGGUAGAAGGUUGCCUCUGCUUGUUUAGGCUCCAAUUGUCAACUUCAGCAUGAAUCCUCCAUAACCUACUGUAAUAAAAAUGAAUAUAAAGCUCAACUUUUUCUUGUUUGUGGGGGGUCAUUGCAUCAUUUGCACAUCAUCCGCAUUAUGUAAAUGUUGAACAACUAUUUGAUUUCUUCAAUUUCAAAAUAAACAGGUUGUAAAACUUUAAACUGCUCAUUCAACUGAGCUUCAAAGAACUAUAAAAAUCAAAUGCAUUUUUUUUAUGUUUUUUUGAUUAUACUGCCACUAGUUCUGCUUACUAAAACUUUAAACUGUAUAUUCAACAUAAUGAGGAUUCGGAACCAUUUACUGGGGAAAGACCUCCGAUGGUCUUCAGGUAAUUAAUUAAGCGUUUACAUGCAGCAUAUCAUGACUAUUUUUUCUUGUCACUGCCAUCUCAAUUUGUUAUUGUUGUUAAUUUUGUGCGUGCGUGUGUGCAGAUAGCCGUAAAGAAGUUGAAGUCUAUGAAUUCAAAAGCAGAGA
rnacentral:lncRNA from 1 species